GUAGGUGGCAAGCGUUGUCCGGAAUUAUUGGGCGUAAAGCGCGCGCAGGCGGUUCUUUAAGUCUGAUGUGAAAGCCCACGGCUCAACCGUGGAGGGUCAUUGGAAACUGGAGAACUUGAGUACAGAAGAGGAAAGCGGAAUUCCACGUGUAGCGGUGAAAUGCGUAGAGAUGUGGAGGAACACCAGUGGCGAAGGCGGCUUUCUGGUCUGUAACUGACGCUGAGGCGCGAAAGCGUGGGGAGCAAACAGGAUUAGAUACCCUGGUAGUCCACGCCGUAAGCGAUGAGUGCUAAGUGUUAGGGGGUUUCCGCCCCUUAGUGCUGCAGCUAACGCAUUAAGCACUCCGCCCUGGGAGUACGGCCGCAAGGCUG
rnacentral:rRNA from 1 species